GAUGAACGCUGGCGGCGUGCCUAAUACAUGCAAGUCGAGCGAACGGACGAGAAGCUUGCUUCUCUGAUGUUAGCGGCGGACGGGCGAGUAACACGUGGAUAACCUACCUAUAUGACUGGGAUAACUUCGGGAAACCGGAGCUAAUACCGGAUAAUAUUUUGUACCGCAUGGUUCAAAAGUAAAAGACGGUCUUGCUGUCACUUAUAGAUGGAUCCGCGCUGCCUUAGCUAGUUGGUAAGGUAACGGCUUACCAAGGCAACGAUGCAUAGCCGACCUGAGAGGGUGAUCGGCCACACUGGAACUGAGACACGGUCCAGACUCCUACGGGAGGCAGCAGUAGGGAAUCUUCCGCAAUGGGCGAAAGCCUGACGGAGCAACGCCGCGUGAGUGAUGAAGGUCUUCGGAUCGUAAAACUCUGUUAUUAGGGAAGAACAUAUGUGUAAGUAACUGUGCACAUCUUGACGGUACCUAAUCAGAAAGCCACGGCUAACUACGUG
rnacentral:rRNA from 1 species